rnacentral:rRNA from 1 species
GACGAAGGAUGCAAGCGUUAUCCGGAUUCAUUGGGUUUAAAGGGAGCGUAGGCGGACUUGUAAGUCAGUGGUGAAAUCUGUGGGCUUAACCCACAAACUGCCAUUGAUACUGCAGGUCUAGAGUACAGUUGCCGUUGGCGGAAUAUGACAUGUAGUGGUGAAAUACUUAGAUAUGUCAUAGAACACCGAUUGCGAAGGCGGCUAACGAAGCUGUAACUGACGCUGAGGCUCGAAAGUGCGGGGAUCAAACAGG